UUGGGAAUAUUGGACAAUGGGGGAAACCCUGAUCCAGCAAUGCCGCGUGAAUGAUGAAGGCCUUCGGGUCGUAAAGUUCUUUUAGCAGGGAAGAAGGGAAACUUGACUGUACCUGCAGAAAAAGCACCGGCUAACUCCGUGCCAGCAGCCGCGGUAAUACGGAGGGUGCAAGCGUUGUUCGGAAUUAUUGGGCGUAAAGCGCGUGUAGGCGGCUUGAUAAGUCUGGUGUGAAAGCCCGAGGCUUAACCUC
rnacentral:rRNA from 1 species